ACUAUAUACAACGCCCCGCCCAAACAUAACUUUGUGUAACAGUUUCUAUUGCACCAAAUGAUGUUCGGAUUCAAGAUGAUUACGUCGUUAAAUUAAUAUUACAAAAAUUAUACAUAUAUUUCUAUUAUAAUAAUAAAAAUUUAAUUAAUAAUAUAAAAUUCAUCAAUAAAAGAACUAUUUAAGAGGAAUCUUUAAAAUUUAUAAAAUGUCCAUUUUAGACGAGCGAGAGGAUUAUCUGAAGAAUCCCUUCUUUGUGAAGCAUGAAUAUGGUGAUUUUACACCAUUUUAUGUCACUGUCACUAUCUGUUCUCUACUAUUUGCAUUUUUGUGCAUUCUGAACAUUGGAUUUUGUUGUUCGCGUCAUCGAUAUUAUUGGCAAAGUCCUCAUACUGGGAACAGAUGGAUUCAACCAUUAUGGACAGUAUUACCGCAUAAAACACCACCUUUGGAUUUAACUGAAUUAGAACCAGGACGUGCUUUUGAGGCACAAGAGAAACAAGAGGUUUUACAAUAUCACGAUCCAAAGCCAUAUGGAACUGCACCACAAACACAAGAAUAUAUGGAAAUGCAAAAACGUGAGAGUGAAAUUUAAUUAAAUAUUAAUUUUGAUAUUAUAUAUAUAAGUGAACAAACAUUCAAAAGUCGAAUUCAAGUAUUCAGUUAAAAACAUUGUAUAAAUUGAUCUAUAUAUAAUAGCCAAAGCUAAAAAAUAACUGUACAAAGU
rnacentral:misc_RNA from 1 species